rnacentral:rRNA from 1 species
AUCCAACCUCAAAUCAGGCAGGACUACCCGCUGAACUUAA